rnacentral:rRNA from 1 species
GACAGAGGGGGCAAGCGUUGUCCGGACUGACUGGGCGUAAAGCGCGCGCAGGCGGUCUCGGGCGUCGGUGCGGAAAGUCCACCGCUUAACGGUGGGAUGCGUGCCGAUACGCCGAGACUGGAGGGUGGGCGAGGGUGGUGGAAUUGCCGGUGUAGUGGUGAAAUGCGUAGAGAUCGGCAGGAACACCCGUGGUGAAAACGGCCACCUAGCCCAUACCUGACGCUGAGGCGCGACAGCGUGGGGAGCGAACGGG